rnacentral:rRNA from 1 species
CAGUAGCCACGGUAAUACGAAGGGGGCUAGCGUUGUUCGGAAUUACUGGGCGUAAAGCGCACGUAGGCGGAUAUUUAAGUCAGGGGUGAAAUCCCGCAGCUCAACUGCGGAACUGCCUUUGAUACUGGGUAUCUUGAGUAUGGAAGAGGUUAGUGGAAUUGCGAGUGUAGAGGUGAAAUUCGUAGAUAUUCGCAGGAACACCAGUGGCGAAGGCGGCUAACUGGUCCAUAACUGACGCUGAGGUGCGAAAGCGUGGGGAGCAAACAGGAUUAGAUACCCGAGUAGUCCCUGUCUCUUAUAC